GGCCCCGUGGUCAAGCGGUUAAGACAUCGCCCUUUCACGGCGGAGACAUGGGUUCGAUUCCCGUCGGGGUCA
rfam:Clostridium sp. CAG:273 genomic scaffold, scf275